GAGAGGUGCUGCAUGGCUGUCGUCAGCUCGUGUUGUGAAAUGUUGGGUUAAGCCUCGCGACGAGCGCAACCCCUAUCGUCUGUUGCCAGCAUUAAGUUGGGCACUCUGACGAGGCUGCCUGGGUUAACCAGGAGGAAGGUGGGGAUGACGUCAAGUCCUCAUGGCCCUUAUGUCUAGGGCUACACACGUAAUACAAUGGCGCGUACAAUGGGAAGCGAACUCGCAAGGGGGAGCAAAUCUCAAAAAGCGCGUCUCAGUUCGGAUUGAAGUCUGCAACUCGACUUCAUGAAGUUGGAAUCGCUAGUA
rnacentral:rRNA from 1 species